GGGACACGUGGUAUCCUGUCUGAAUAUGGGGGGACCAUCCUCCAAGGCUAAAUACUCCUGACUGACCGAUAGUGAACCAGUACCGUGAGGGAAAGGCGAAAAGAACCCCGGCGAGGGGAGUGAAAAAGAACCUGAAACCGUGUACGUACAAGCAGUGGGAGCACGCUUAGGCGUGUGACUGCGUACCUUUUGUAUAAUGGGUCAGCGACUUAUAUUCUGUAGCAAGGUUAACCGAAUAGGGGAGCCGAAGGGAAACCGAGUCUUAACUGGGCGUUAAGUUGCAGGGUAUAGACCCGAAACCCGGUGAUCUAGCCAUGGGCAGGUUGAAGGUUGGGUAACACUAACUGGAGGACCGAACCGACUAAUGUUGAAAAAUUAGCGGAUGACUUGUGGCUGGGGGUGAAAGGCCAAUCAAACCGGGAGAUAGCUGGUUCUCCCCGAAAGCUAUUUAGGUAGCGCCUCGUGAAUUCAUCUCCGGGGGUAGAGCACUGUUUCGGCAAGGGGGUCAUCCCGACU
rnacentral:rRNA from 1 species